rnacentral:tRNA from 2 species
GGGGGAUUAGCUCAGCUGGCUAGAGCAUCUGCCUUGCACGCAGAGGGUCAACGGUUCGAAUCC